UUUUAAGUUCAGUCGUCGGUAAAGCAUGAGACUCUUUAUCUCAGGGUUGUGGAUUCAAGCCUCACAUUGGGCAAAA